GGAGACUGUAGUGUGUGUGAAUGAGGAUCCUCAAUCAGGCUUGAUGAAUGGUGUCAGUACCAGUAAUUGGUGUGACAUGGACUUUGAGAUGUCUGUUGUGGAUGACGGGGAGUCUGUGGUAUGUGAUGUUGAUGUAGUGCUGGAUAGCACCGAGGGUAUGCAAGUGACUGUUGAGCCCCCAGUUGUUGCAUCGACAUCUAGAGUGUAUCAUGAUGGGGCUAUUCACCCCCAGGAGCCCCUGGGCUGUAUACAAGUAGGUAGGGGAGGUGUUGGACAACCAUCAGGUGUUGGACAACCAUCAGAGGGAGGGCGUAGUAGGAUAUCAAGGGAUAUCCCCAUAUUUAAUGCUUUUGAGCUACGACAGAGGGUUGAUGUCCGGAACAUCCAGUUAAAUGACAUCGAACGGGUCCCGGAGAUGAUUAGAGAAUCCGUAGUGGGUGUAAUCGAGCAAGCUGUAGACGGCGCCCCUCGCGGUAGCGUUUUGAACGUUGUGUUGCGUGGACCGUCGCUGGCCAGCGAUGUGCAAACCAUCUUAAAUGCCAACGAUUCAUACAAUGUGGACUUGUUUCUUGAGCAAGUAGCCCAAAUGUUGCAGAGCAACGACGAUUCCAUAGCCGACGAUGCGUUGGAGUUGGUUGUCACAGUUGCCCGAAACCAAAGUGGGGGUGUGGGGGGGCGGUUAAAACUAGGCGGUAUAUCUCGUGAUGAGAUCCUGUCAAAAAAGGGGCGCUUUCUCUUCCGUCCAGAUAAUCAGGGCAACAAUCUGUGCUUUGCGCUCUGCCUGGCCCAUUAUAUACAGCCACAGUCAUCAGGGCCUGAUAAACUGUCCCAUGCCGUACGGUUUCAACAGGCCGCUGGUUUUGACAUCACACACCCCGUCUCCCUCGCCGACAUUGGCACCUUUGAAAGACUUUUCAGUCUAAAGAUUAUCGUAUUUCAGAGCAUCGGACCUAACCCACUAGUGUGUUUCCAGACCCAUGACGCUCCUGAUCCUCGCACAGUGUGGUUAUAUCUACACAAUGAUCAUUAUUACAUGAUCGAAAACAAGCGUGGGUUUUUCGGGGCAAAAUUUGUGUGUAACUUUUGCUACCAGACAUACACUGCGAUACUGUGUCACGACUGCCCCCAGAGGUGCAGUGUGUGUUUCACCACAGAGUGUCGGGCCCACGCUGAAGCCACCCUGACCUGUGUGGACUGUAACCGCAUCUGUAGAUCACAAUUCUGUUUUGAGCAACACAAAAAGCCUGAAGUAGUUCAUAACCUCAUACCUUGUAACGUAAUGAAAUGCUGUGGCGCUUGUAGUCUAACAUACAAGGUUAACAAAAGAAAACACACCUGUGCCGCCCCCCGUUGUUCACGCUGCGGGGAGCCUCGGCCGGAAAGCGACGACGAGCAUGCCUGCUUUAUUCAACCAGUUGAGAAGAAACCGGCUCAGACCAAAUAUAUCCUGUUUGAUUUUGAGACACGGUUUCGCAACGGGAAGCAUGAGGCCAACUUUGUGUGUGCCAUGGAUUUUGAGGGGCACAGGUUUUGUUUCACAACAUUAAAAUGUGUUGAUGCCUUUGUAAGGCGGUACAGAAUGCCCAAAUACCAAGGCUACACCUUCAUAGCCCACAAUGCAUCUGGUUUUGACAAUUGCAUCCUGUUGGAGUAUUUUGUCAAACAGGGUAUCACGCCCGGUGUGACCAUGAGGGGGAGCCGUGUCGUCCUGAUGUAUGAUCAGACAUACCAGCAGCGGUGGAUCGACUCAUUCAGUUUUCUCCCCAUGCGUCUGUCAAAAACACCCGAGGCCUUGGGCUUUGAGGAUCUGACAAAAGGCUGUUUCCCACACCGGUUUAACACCCGAGAACAUGAACACUAUGUGGGUAAUUACCCUGACCCCUCAUACUAUGGGUAUGAUGAUAUGAUGGACAGUGACAAGGCCAAAUUCAUGAGUUGGUAUGACACUAUGCGUGAGGAGAUAUUUGAUUUCCAGGUGGAGCUCGGGCGCUAUUGUGUCAAUGAUGUUGAACUACUGCGGAGAGCGUGCACAACCUACCGUAGUAGCUUCAUGCAGUGCACACAGCUAGAUCCCUUCAUGUACGACACGCUGGACGCUAGCUGCAUGGCGGUGUUCAAAACCCUGUUCCUACCUCGCGACACAGUCGCUUUGACGUAUGACGGAGCUUACACACCGGCUGAGCGGUCCGCCUCAACAGCCAAAAAACGGGAACAGUUAAACCCCAGAGAGGCGCUCUUUGGGGCACGUACCAGUGCGAGGAAGCUGUACCACGCCGUUGAUGCUAGUGCUGGCGAGAAAAUCAGGUACUACGACUUUACGAGUCUGUAUCUCUCCGUCCAAAGCACCAAGCCGUACCCCGUUGGCCAUCCACAGAUUAUCUUUGAGGACUUUGAUUCCAUCGAUAAUUACUUUGGCUUUGUAAAAUGUGUGGUCCUCCCCCCAAAAGACUUGGUCCAUCCUGUCCUCCCCCACAGAUGUCACGGAAAACUCACGUUUCCCUUGUGUAGGACGUGUGCCGAGGCGUUGAACCAGUCUGCUGCUUGUGCACACGGUGACCUGGAGAGACAGCUGCCGGGGGUGUGGGUAUCCAUGGAGCUUCAGAAAGCCCUUGAAAAAGGGUAUCUGAUGGUGUCCAUUGAAGAGGUGUGGCAUUUCCCCAACAAGACGGACACAUUGUUUAAGGGAUAUGUCAGCACCUUUCUCAAGGGUCAACAGGAGGCAUCGGGGUACCCGGCUCAUGUUAAAACGGAGGCUGAGAAGGCAAAAUAUGUGGCGGACUAUUUUGAGAACGAGGGCAUUCAGCUCGACCCCUCCAAAAUCUGUGUCAAUGAAGCCAUGAGUAGCUGUAACAAGCUCCUGCUCAAUUCCCUGUGGGGGAGUUUUAGUCAUGGAAACGACGCGCCCUCCUGUGAACUGAUCACGGAUCCGUCCCGCUUCACACAGCUGAUGUUCAGCGGUCAUUUCGACGUGCGGCAGUUCUGUUUCAUAUCGGACGAUGUGGCUCUGGUGCAGUGGCGACAUGCAGGCGGCCGAGGCUCACCCACGAAAGAUGUAAACGUCUUCAUAGGGGCCAUGACGACAGCCCAUGCGAGACUGAUGCUGUACGACGUGUUGGACACUCUGCAGGAGCGCGUCUUGUACUGUGACUCGGACAGCAUCGUGUUCACCUCUGUGGCCGGAGACGUCGUCCCCCCUCUCGGCCCACGGCUCGGAGACCUGACGGACAAGCUCAACAAUGGUGACUUGUGUGGCUCCCCUGAGGAGGACUACAUCACAGAGUUUGUCUCUGGGGGUCCCAAGUGUCAUGCAUAUACCACUAUGCACGGCAAAACAACCGUCAAAUGUAAAGGCGUCACCCUAAACGCUAGAAAUGUGGCGCUUGUCACACCCUCGUCUCAGAAAUGCUCUCAGCGUUUGUAGCCAAUCGGAACACAACCGCGAUUCUAAAGCCAUGACCCCGAACACUUGAGGAAUCUUGCUCUGUUGGAGUUGAUGUGUAAAUCUCCACCUACGGUGCGGAGUGUCAUUGAAGUUCACGCCUGGCUGGGAGAGACGGGGGCAGCAGACUGAGGCGUCCUGAAGGACCCCUGCGAUGCCAUUCAGAUCAGGGGACAGAACGACGCAGAGGAAGAUGGAGUGAUGACAUCAUGUGGAUAUGCGAAUCCACCGACUGACAGACGGCUCAGCCAGUGAGCGGAUUAGGACCAAUGUUUUACCUAGACAGGUUAACCAAUGAGAAGUGAAUAUCUUCCCCUGGGGCCGGGACGCCCGGGAAAACAGAUGUUGACCAGAGAGACGAUGCUUUUUGACCUUUUGGAUGCCGGCAGAGAAGCACUGCACGCAGGUCAGCUGCAUGGAGGCCGAGAUCCUUGAGAAGCCCUCAGCUGAGGAUUAGAAUUAGUGAGCGUGACUUACUGUUAGUCCAGAGUUCAUGUUGAGAGACCUUCAUUUAUCAAGCUGUUUUCGGAAUUUGUAAUCUGAGAACAACAUUAAUGUUAACAUGACUAAAAAACAAACAUGAACAAAG